rfam:Paenibacillus selenitireducens strain ES3-24 ES3-24_scaffold6, whole genome shotgun sequence.
UUUUGGUAUUGCGGACGUAAAAGAACAAGACAUCACCGGACGCGACCGGGUAAAAAGCGAA